rnacentral:lncRNA from 1 species
UAAUUUGGAUAAAUUUAAGUAGAACAAAAUAAUAAAUAAAAGGAAAACUAAACGCAAAAAGAAGAUGCAUGCUAAAAGAGGGGUAUCACUAAAUAUUAAAGAUGGGUCCUAAGGCCCAUAGUCCAACUUUAACCUAAAACACAAAUAAUAAAACCAUAAAAUUAAUAAUAAAAAAAACAAAGAAAAACACAAAUAAGAAUAAAUGACAGGGCGUAGCCCCCACUCACAAAGAUUUGCCCAUAUUAUUUCAAAAACACAAUCCCAAAGCCAAUAGUAUUAUGACAUGGCGUUACUUUUAAUAAAAUGAAGAAAAAAACCUUAUUCACCUUAAUGCUUGUAAAAACGCAAAAUAAACAAAAGAAAAGAGGAAACUUUCUUCCUCAUAUCAAUCACACUCUCUAUAUGAACAAAC